rnacentral:lncRNA from 1 species
GUGAACUCUAGCCCGUAGCUCCAGGGCUAGAGUUGACUCUCGCAAGAGCAGUAACGUUGCCAUGGAAACCGCGGCAACGCUCUGUGCUCGCGCAAGAAGGACCCAGAGGAGCUGCAGGGUGAGCUCCCAGGUCCUCUCUUCCUCCCCUGCCCGCACGGUGUCUGCGGACAGGGGAGGGGGGGCAUUCUUCCCUCUCUUUCUCCCCCCUCCCCCAUCUCUCUAUUCCCCCUCUUUCUCCCCGUGUCUCAUUCUUCCCUCUCUGUCUCUUUCUCCCCCUCCCCAUCUCUCUAUUUCCCCUCUUUCUC